UGUGUAGGCGGAAAAGUAAGCGUUUCGUGAAAGCCCCCGGCUUAACCGGGGAACUGCGCAACGAACUGCUUUUCUUGAGGCAAGUAGGGGUGCAUGGAACUCUUGGUGGAGCGGUGGAAUGCGUAGAUAUCAAGAGGAACGCCAGUGGAGAAAUCGGUGCACUGGGCUUGUCCUGACGCUGAGACACGAAAGCGUGGGUAGCGAACAGGAUUAGAUACCCUGGUAGUCC
rnacentral:rRNA from 1 species